rnacentral:rRNA from 1 species
GACAAACGCUGGCGGCGUGCCUAAAACAUGCAAGUCGAACGGGCACUUCGGUGCUAGUGGCGGACGGCUGAGUAACACGUGGGUAACCUACCCUGAAGUGGGGGACGAACCCGCCCGAAAGGACGAGCUAAUACCGCAUACGAUCGCUGGUCUCUGGACUGGUGAGGAAAGCCUUCGGGCGCUUUAGGUAUGGCCUGCGGCCGAUUAGCCAGUUGGUGGGGUAAUGGCCUACCAAAGCGAUGACGGUAGCUGGUCUGAGAGGAUGAUCAGCCAGACUGGGACUGUGACACGGCCCAGACUCCUACGGGAGGCAGCAGUGGGGAAUCUUGCGCAAUGGGCGAAAGCCUGACGCAGCGACGCCGCGUGAGGGAUGACGGCCU